rnacentral:rRNA from 1 species
UACGUAGGUGACAAGCGUUGUCUGGAUUUACUGGGCGUAAAGAGCGCGCAGGCGGUCGUUCAAGUCGAGUGUGAAAGCCCCCGGCUCAACUGGGGAGGGUCAUUCGAUACUGAUCGACUCGAAGGCAGGAGAGGGAAGUGGAAUUCCCGGUGUAGUGGUGAAAUGCGUAGAUAUCGGGAGGAACACCAGUGGCGAAGGCGACUUCCUGGCCUGUUCUUGACGCUGAGGCGCGAAAGCUAGGGGAGCAAACGGG